AUGCGUUGUUGGGUAGGGGAGCGUUCUGUAAGCCUGCGAAGGUGUGCUGUGAGGCAUGCUGGAGGUAUCAGAAGUGCGAAUGCUGACAUAAGUAACGAUAAAGCGGGUGAAAAGCCCGCUCGCCGGAAGACCAAGGGUUCCUGUCCAACGUUAAUCGGGGCAGGGUGAGUCGACCCCUAAGGCGAGGCCGAAAGGCGUAGUCGAUGGGAAACAGGUUAAUAUUCCUGUACUUGGUGUUACUGCGAAGGGGGGACGGAGAAGGCUAUGUUGGCCGGGCGACGGUUGUCCCGGUUUAAGCGUGUAGGCUGGUUUUCCAGGCAAAUCCGGAAAAUCAAGGCUGAGGCGUGAUGACGAGGCACUGCGGUGCUGAAGCAACAAAUGCCCUGCUUCCAGGAAAAGCCUCUAAGCAUCAGGUAACAUCAAAUCGUACCCCAAACCGACACAGGUGGUCAGGUAGAGAAUACCAAGGCGCUUGAGAGAACUCGGGUGAAGGAACUAGGCAAAAUGGUGCCGUAACUUCGGGAGAAGGCACGCUGAUAUGUAGGUGAAGUCCCUCGCGGAUGGAGCUGAAAUCAGUCGAAGAUACCAGCUGGCUGCAACUGUUUAUUAAAAACACAGCACUGUGCAAACACGAAAGUGGACGUAUACGGUGUGACGCCUGCCCGGUGCCGGAAGGUUAAUUGAUGGGGUUAGCGCAAGCGAAGCUCUUGAUCGAAGCCCCGGUAAACGGCGGCCGUAACUAUAACGGUCCUAAGGUAGCGAAAUUCCUUGUCGGGUAAGUUCCGACCUGCACGAAUGGCGUAAUGAUGGCCAGGCUGUCUCCACCCGAGACUCAGUGAAAUUGAACUCGCUGUGAAGAUGCAGUGUACCCGCGGCAAGACGGAAAGACCCCGUGAACCUUUACUAUAGCUUGACACUGAACAUUGAGCCUUGAUGUGUAGGAUAGGUGGGAGGCUUUGAAGUGUGGACGCCAGUCUGCAUGGAGCCGACCUUGAAAUACCACCCUUUAAUGUUUGAUGUUCUAACGUUGACCCGUAAUCCGGGUUGCGGACAGUGUCUGGUGGGUAGUUUGACUGGGGCGGUCUCCUCCUAAAGAGUAACGGAGGAGCACGAAGGUUGGCUAAUCCUGGUCGGACAUCAGGAGGUUAGUGCAAUGGCAUAAGCCAGCUUGACUGCGAGCGUGACGGCGCGAGCAGGUGCGAAAGCAGGUCAUAGUGAUCCGGUGGUUCUGAAUGGAAGGGCCAUCGCUCAACGGAUAAAAGGUACUCCGGGGAUAACAGGCUGAUACCGCCCAAGAGUUCAUAUCGACGGCGGUGUUUGGCACCUCGAUGUCGGCUCAUCACAUCCUGGGGCUGAAGUAGGUCCCAAGGGUAUGGCUGUUCGCCAUUUAAAGUGGUACGCGAGCUGGGUUUAGAACGUCGUGAGACAGUUCGGUCCCUAUCUGCCGUGGGCGCUGGAGAACUGAGGGGGGCUGCUCCUAGUACGAGAGGACCGGAGUGGACGCAUCACUGGUGUUCGGGUUGUCA
rnacentral:rRNA from 1 species